AACAAAGGAGACCUUGGGCAACAGGAUCAGAGCAGUCCCCAUAGCCUACAAAGCUUCUGGAGCAGGACUCCACAUCUGCUCCCCUGGCCAGGAUCCAGACUCAGUGCAAGCCAGACAAAGAUUUCAAUUACUGAAGGAGCAGCUGUUGCUCCAGAAGACAGGGGUGAAGCCAAUCCCUUCUCCACAUGCUACUCAAACUGCACAAAAAGCUGGCCAGCGGGCCAGAGCACAGCUGUAUGGUGUAACUUAGCUUUUCAAGGAAAGGACACCAGUUUAAUUAAGGUCUGUGCUUGCAACAGAGGGCUGAACAGUGCCCAGUUCUCCUCUUCUCUGGAUCAACAGCAGCAGCACGAGCUUCUCAUGUGUGCACGUACCUCGCCUCUAGCAGGGACUGGUCUCCGUUUCACUGCAUCCCCUUCUGGCUCUGCUAACACUAUUCUCAGUUGCCGACCUGUUGUUAUGGGCACAGCUUGGCUUGUGUGGCUGCUUCAGCUGAAGACUCUCCAGGGACUGUUUGACCUCAGCAUGGAAUAUAAGGCUACACAGCGAGUUUUGGAAAUCAGGACUGCUUCAUUUACUGCUUUGGAAAUUAGUCCCUUAGAAGUCGAACCAACAUCCACUAAAAUUCAUGGACUACCUCCAAGGGACUGCAGCAGAUUUAGGUGA
rnacentral:lncRNA from 1 species